UCGCUGAGCGGGAGGACUGGGUGCACCCAGAUAAACAAGUCAGACAUGCAGUCGGUAGUGAAGUGAUGAGGCCAAAAACGGCGGGGCCAGGGCGAGGGAGCAUUUUUGUUACGGAAAAGCCCCUGAAACAACAACAGUUGAAGAACAUUAGGUUAGCUGAAAAGCAUUUGGCUCGCCGAGCAGGUUGGCUGGGCUGUUUCGUGCUUGCAGGGCAGCACCUGUUGCAGUGUCCUUGCCCGUAGACGUUUUACCCCCCACACCUCCAUUUUUUUAGAACAGUUUUCUCGCAUGGAGCAUUGGUUGGUGAUUUGGCCUGGCUAGAGACGAAUGGAUAAAGAAGAUGUGGUAUACGUACACAAUGGACUAUUAUUCAACCAUUAAAAAGAAUGAAAUCCUGCCAUUUGCAACAACAUGGAUGGAGCUAGUAUCCAGUUGAUCUGUUGAUGAUCCUUCGUCGAGGACUCAGGAUCAGAUGGUAUCUCUGUGUGACUGAAAUGAACCACCUGUUGUCUUCAAACGAAAAUAAUGAAGCUGAAGCUUAAGGAGGUUUAAGACCUUGAGCAGCCAGCAAGACAAGAAUGCAAGAUCCAAACCCAGUUUAUUCCAAAGUCAAAGCUCAUUCUUUUUUUUAUAUAAAUAUUUUUCAUUUAUUUAUUAGAGAGAGAGAGCAUUGGGAGAAACAGAGGGAAAGGGACAAGCAGUCUCUGCACUGAGCAUGAAGCUCUAUGUAGGGCUUGAUUCCAGGAUCCUGAGAUCAUGACCUGAACCAAAACCAAGAAUCAGAUGUUUAACCGACUGAGCUACCCAGGCACCGUAAAGCUCAUUCUUUUUCUUUUUUUUUUUUUUUUCCAAAGCUCAUUCUUAACCACAAAGCACAUCUGCCUCUGUGCUACAUCAAUGGAUGAUUUCAUUUUAGGCAUUUGUGUCUGAAUUGAGGAUAAUCUUUUGCAUCCAAUUUAUACAGAUUUUGAUGGGAAUCUGUGUGUCAUGAAUCUUGGUUAGUCACAGAAAUUAUUUAAUUGUUACAGUGUAAACUCAUUGAGAUUAAUGAAAUAGCUGAUAAUAAUGUUUGAGCCUAAUUGUUAUCUUGGGCAGGUAUACUGCAUGCUUGGUAUCUAAUCACAUAAUGGGCCUUUGUGAAAACAGAACAGUUCUAAGACUAGUAUCAGCAAUUCAUGAAGGAAGAUUAAAGCAGCUGACAAGGUCUUGAAAAUUCCCCUGGGUAUUAUGGAUUUCAUUUUAAGUGAAAAAUGCAAAGCAAUUAAAUUUCUUGUAACAGAAUUCCUUAAUUACACACAAUUUAUACUGAUGAUUUAAUUUUAUUUAAAAGUUAACAACUUUGAUUUCUUACAAAUAUGUAAAACGCAUUGGUACAUAUGGAAAAGAUGAAGAGGAUAUGCAAAAAAAAAAAAAAUUUGGCCUAAGGGGUAGUAAGGUAACUGGAAGAUUUUUCUCCUUAAAAAUUUUUUCAGGGCAGCCCGGGUGGCUCAGCAGUUUAGCGUUGACUUCAGCCCAGGGCCUGAUCCUGGAGACUGGGGAUGGAGUCCCACAUCAGGCCCCCUGCAUGGAGCCUGCUUCUCCCUCUGCCUGUGUCUCUGCCUCUCUCUCUCUCUCUCUCUCUCUGCCUCCCCCUCCCCCCGCCAUGUCUUUCAUGAAUAAAUAAAUAAAA